UGUGUGUUGACCUGAUAUGUUUUUAUUCAUUAGUUGAAAAGAUAAGACACUGAAAAGAACCUUGUCAUCAACAUACUUUGGGUAAUGCAAUAGCUCCCUCUGCUGUAUUUUGUCUGAAAUAACACCUCAAGAGUGCUGCGACAUGCAUGUUUUGGUUGUAUUCAAUCAUUAUUGCUUAAGAGACAACACAAAGAAUAAUUUAUGAAAUCAAUGAAACUAUUUGGAUUAACAGAUAUUGCUUCUCAGAUAUUGUGAUAUUUAAUUGUGGCCUUUCUAGCACUUUCAAAUGGGAGAUUCCACAGGACUUAGAAAAUAUUUCAAGUUCCAACUUCAAACUCCACUUACAUCACUGGAGAUUCAAGAGGAAGAGUUUAAAGGUGGCCUUUGUCAGACACAGGUAGAACUACUCGUUUUCUGCCACCUGCAUUCUCUAAAUAAAAGGCCAGAGACGUUUUCAUAUUAGUCCAUGUUUAUUGAGAAAAUAGGAUCAGUCACACUGCUGUUAUAUUGAAGACUACCAAUAUAUUUUCCAGUGUAUCCAUGGGGUUGCUGGUUCAAAUCCCUAAGCAUACUAGGUGAAAAAUCUAUCUGUGCCAUUGAGCAAGGCACUCAACCCUAGUUGCUCUGGAUAAGAGCAUCUGCUAAAUUGUAAAAUAUCCAUGAAAACCUUUCCCUUCCAUUUACAGAUAUCAAUUAUUUACAACUAGAUUAUGCAACUAUGUGCGUUACUGUACACAUUGCCUCAUCCCAUCUGUGUGUGUUGUCGCCAACUUCUAUCAUUCAUGGUUAUGCAAUAAAAAGAGUUGGCUGCAGCACAUACAGUAAGUAGCCUAUGGGAUAAGGUUAGUGUACAUCAGAAUCAAAUGAUUUUGUGAUUCGAUGUGUCCACAUAGAAUAGGAUUCAUUUUGUUCAACUUCUAAAUGGGCAGACACUUUUUUUAUUUUGAGAGACUUUUCUUUAAAAUCCCCAGAUAUGUCUGCUUUAAAAUGCAAAACAUUGAGAUACAUUCGUCAUAGACUUUUUACUUUUAUCCUGCACCAUUUCCAUCAUUUUGUAUGCUGCAAAUGGUGUUGGAGCGAAGUCACACAGGGUUAACUACUGGGUAUGAGCAUGACCAAAUCUGACUAGUCAUGGUGUGUAGAAUCCCAGUUCCUGCCAUUACCACUCCAACCUUAAUAUCUUAUAGUACAUAGGGGUUGUAGGAACAUCAUGCAUUUUCAUUUUCUUGUAUUAAAUCAGCACUAGACAUCUCAUUUCAUUGUCACCCCCCAGCUCAGACAGUCCUGUCUUGUCACACAAUCCAUACAACCCAUAACACCUCCGAACAGGCACAAUCAAUCAGCAUGCACUCAA